UGGUAUAAUAAAUAGUUGUUCUUCAGUUACCUGCUGAGUAUUACAGGUUGGAUUCAUCAGGGAAUUAGGCACAGAGUAUCAUGAGGAGAAGACAAUAUUUAAUGAGUGUGAGGAGUGAAUGAUGUCACUCUUGCUGGGGGGGUGGUUCAGGGCUGAGUAAAGCACAAGUUAAGUCACUGCAGGUGUGCAGCUUAAUGACCUGCAACCGAGUAGCAAGUGUGCAUGAACUGAGAGCACAGAGGGCAUGUUUGGGAAUGUUAUUACUGUCGAGGAGCUGAAGUAAGUCGAUGGAUGUGUGAGCGACACUCUGGGGAAGGUGCUCAGUAAUGCUUGGAACUUAAGAGAACCUUGUUUCCAUUUUGUGACCAUCACUGUGGAUCUGGGUUUAUUUUGGAUCAGCUAUUUUCUCGGCCUUAAAAUGGGAUACUCAACGACCUCAAUUAAGGAAGUCUGCUAAGGGACAUGAGACCCCUUUGUUUACUGUCUCAUGAAAAUAUCUUCAUAUUGGCAAGCCAUUAAAAAGAAUAAAAGGGUGGAAGGAAGAGGCAAGACAGCUGAGAUAUCUGGAAACCUGUGUCCCCACCCAGCUUUCUGGGUUACAGAAAGGCUGAUCUAUAGCCCUGAAGCAAAGAAGAAGCUGUACACCAAAAGCUGGAAAAGUGGCUUACAUUUUAAGAGGAAUUCUCCAAAUCAGAAGAUCCCACCUGUGGUAACACUCAUGGAGUACAAAUUAUGUGCAGUGGGCGUUCAUGUGGAAAAUCUGUAUGGCUAAAGCAUCCUGGCAAACCACAGUUCCUGCUGGGUGAGUUAAGAGUCUGUCUUGAAGGAAUGAGGGAUUCAAAACUCCCCAUGCAGUAUAUGUACCUGCAGCUGUGCACAACCUGUGAGACCUGAUGGCUGCCAGCUCCCCUGCCCAGGAAGGGACACUGACAACCUACUGAAGAGUUUACAAGGACAGAAACUAAUCCAGUGCUGACUUUUGCUUUCACAGAAGAAAGGAAAGAAAAUCUAGGUUUCCAUUACAAAACGGACAUGAGGAUUUCCCUGUUUGCUCUCCAGAAUUUUCUUAAGCCUGAUAUUUUGAAUCAAUGAGUUGAACAGAAACAGGAUCAUUGUGGAUCACAAAUGAGGAACCAGAUACAUAUGGAAUUGAUGAGGUGAUUAACAUCACUUUCUUGUACAUGUUGAAGAAAAUCUAUAUCCUGCACAGAAGUGUCUGUUUUGAUGGGAACACUCACCACCUAUCCCACAGCUUCUUUACAUGGUUUCAGCAGGAAAAAAAAUUACAGUUUCUAUCUACGAUAGUCAUUAGAAAUCAUAUUUAACAAGGAACAAAAGGCCCUAAGUCAAGCUGUGAAUGCCCAGAGACAUCCCAGCCUUGCUAGCAGGAUGUGCUUUCACACAUGCACUUGGCAGCAGCCAGUGGAAGCAGUCCCAUGACUCCCACCCCUCUCUCCCAGCCCCGUGCCGUCCUUGACCAUGCCUAGAAGGAUUAUUUCUGUGACUGUGCAAUGAGCUGGCUCAGUGGACAGGUCUUAGUUAAAGAUCAUUCAGGAAAAAAAUAAAAGACAAAAAUAGAAAGAAAAAAGUUAUUUUUCAGCCUGGCUGCCCAGGUGGCAGAAGCAGGUUCCUGGCAGUGCAUCCAGGGAUGCUCACAUCCCCAGCUGCUUGCAGCAGCUCCUGUGAAACUACAGCCUCACUGCAAAACUCCUCUUCUGAGGAACAGGAAAGAGUGAGGGGCUUGCUGUUAGCUCACUUUAUCCACCCUGGUGUUUCCUGACAUGGAAGAGCACCAAGCUGGUUCAGGGGAGCUGGAAAAGGGAUUGUGUGAUGAUGGAAAUGAUGGUAGUGCCAGCCCCAAGCAUUCAGAGAUCCUGAGUUGGGCUGGCAGAAGUCAUAAGGUCUUUUAAAAUAAGAAAGGUAGUAUUUCUUUUAAUUCUUGCUGCAGUCUUAACCUUUAGGGUACAUGAAAUACCGACUGCACAUCUUCUUAGACUUUUCAGAAGGACUAUAUUGAUACAACCACAAACCAAGAUUUACAUACUGCUCAGAUAAUAUAACCACCCUUUUCUUGGUGGUUCUUUAUCUAUCCAGCAUAUCUGACCCUUAUGUAUCAGAAAACUGAAUCUGACCGUGAUAACUUAAACAAAAAUUACCAGGCUGCUGUGGAGGGCACAUGCUGCCUGGGGCUGGCCAUGAUUCCUUGCUGCCAGCUCCAGGUGAGCAGUGAGGUCCCUGAGCUGCAGGCACCUGCAGGCACCCAGUGCUGGUGAGUGAGCUCCCAGGCCACUGACCUGCUGGAGUGCCACACACCCCAUUUUGGGUCACCUACUGCUACAGAGCCUGCCCAGUAAGUUGUCAUCAGGAAAUAAGGAAAUACUUUUCCCUUGCACUCUGCUGAUUUAAUUUGGCAAAUCCUCUGAAGAUCAAAACCUCCCAUGAACCAGUAGAAGUUUCAGAUUAUGUAUAUCUCCUCUUGGGUUUAUGGGUGAUCAGAGAAUGCCCAUAUGCAUUAUAUAUUAUGCAUUUGAGGUAUUUUGACAGAGUUGGAAAAUCAGCUAUCAGGAGAUGGUUUCACAGCUCAGCACUGCUGAUGGUCUGAGAGAAAUCACAAGAAUUAUUACACUGGGUGAAAACCUGCAGCUCAGCACAUGCACACCUGCCAAUACAUACACACAGAUACAUAUCUUACAUUGAGAUAUGCAGCUUUUACUACCAUAAUUUAAGUGUCAACAUUCUUCUUCCCUCCCCGCCAGUGUGUUCUCACACUGCUUGGCCCCAUGCAGGCCUGUCCAAAAGCCUGCUAAAAGAAAACAAACACUGAUUUCAGGUGGAUGAAUACGUGAUUCCCAGCCAAAACCACUUUGCCUUGCACAGUACUUCUGUUUUGCAUUGUGAGUCAUUCCAUGUACCUGUGAACAAUGGACUAAGCAGUCACAGCCUGUUUAAUGCAGGAUCUGGCCACAUCAGUGCAGAGGGAAUCACUGGGUUCCCAUGCUGGGAGGGCAGUGGUGCAGUGACCUCAGCCCCAAAGAUGUAAAUGUCUGUAUCAGAUGUGAGGUGAAGGAGUUUGUGCUGGGUUUCUUCAUCUGGGAGAAGCAAAGGUAUCAGACACUCAAAGGACUUUUGAACUACAUUUUAUUUGUAUUUGUUUGGCACAAAAACGAGCACAAUUCUGGCCAGUCUCCACAAGUGAAACUGUUAAUAAUGCCUAACACCAGGUAUGAUCAUGCAGUGGAGCCGAUCCAUUGCUCUCACCAGAUGCAGUGCAAGGCUGGCACCGGCGGUUCGGGGUGGCUGAGGAAGGUGCAGUGCAGGCUGCAGCAACCUGGCUUCCUUUUCUCUCCAAAAAGCUGCCAGAACUCUGUGCAUUCAGGACUCUUUCUGUCCUGUGAUGCUCUGAUGGACAUGCUAUUUUAUGGAAGUGUUAGAAGUAUGGGCAGAUUCGUUCACCUCAACUUCACCGGUUUGCCCCCAACAAAAGUGUCUCAGACCCCUAAAACCCCCCUGGUGCUCAGCAGCUCUGACCUUUGCCUGGGCACUGCCACAGAACAACCUCUUCCAUACAAACCCCCAGCAGGAGGGAUCCUCAGAAGCCUCCUCUGCCCCCCCCCUCAGGCACCAUCUCUGCAACAGAAACUGCAUUUUUCCUACCAAAAUGCUGGUUUUGCAGAUGAAGGGGUUUUGUUUUGAUGCUUACAGAAACUUGUGAAAGAAAUGAACAGCAGGAAAUCCUAGCUGGAAUAGUAAUGCAAAUAGUAAUAACACCAAUAAAAAGAAAACUUUCACAUUCAGCCAAAUGUCUGCUCUAAAUGACAGCAGUAAGGAAAUAGAUAUAUUUAUAUGGGUGUAACAUACAGUUAUGUGUGGGUGGCUGUGUCUGAGCUAUAGUGCAGGGAUGGCAUGGCAGGUCUAACAGUGAUUCUCAUCCUCAGUUCAUAUUUUGCAAGGCAAUCAACUUAAAACCAACUAUGAUGGUAACACAGUUCCACAGUAUGACUGCAGGACAUAAUUCUCAGAGACAUAAUAAAUAAAUUUCAUCUUAUUUUAUAGAAUUGGAAAACCUGCAGUUUAGAAACACACUAUACCAUGUGUGCAGCACUUUCAAUACAUGCUCACAUUCCAGUUCACUUACUAAUGGGCAUGUGGGCAAAUGCAAAGUCUUUCCCUAAAUCAACACAGUGUUGCACAGACCAGUCGCCUGUACAGAGCCAUUGCCAAAUAUGUUACAUGGAACUUUUCCAGUAUUUCUGUAAAAUGAUGCUAUUUCAGUGUAUGUAAAUUUAAAUUUAGCAAAUUCACCUCAUGGCAAUGUAGUACUCUACAGUCAGUACUUUAGGGAAUAUUUGGUGUUAAUGUCUUCAGUAAAAGAGCUUUAAUUACCUCCAUCCCAGUGCUGGCUGAUGUGGAGGUUAUUCUCUCCACUUUUCCAAGAAAAGUAUAAUACUUGUUAUUUAGAAAAUGAAAAUACAGGUUAUUCUGCAUGCCCUACAAGUUAAAAAACUCAGGCUGUGUCAGGUAAAUAGGGAGAGCAGAUCACCAAUACAGACUCUGAGCAGAAAACACACAAUACACAGCUUGCUGGAGCUCAGGGCUCAAUCUUUUCAUCUAGUAAAGAAAAAAAAACAAAAAAACAAACCAAAACCACUGAUUCCAGCACUGUAGUGGCAGACCCAACUAUGAAAGAGCUGAAACACCUUUCUGAUUUCAUUUGUUGUGGCAUAUGUUCUAGGGAAGGGCAGGAGCAGCAAGUUAUCAAAUCCUAAUUAAUAGUAAAGUUGGAGGUAUUUUAAUGCAUUUUCUCUGUGCAUGUCAAGUGUCAGGUCCAAAGCAGCUCCAAAAUCCUUACUAAUGAAAAAUCUCAGACUAAAAUAUCCAUAUAUUGGUUCUCUGACUGCUCUGACUGACACAGUACUAACCUGAACCUGCACGACUCCAUUUUGUUUUAAUAUUUUAUACAAAUGGAAAUCCUUUAGCAUGAGAAUGAAGACAACAUCCUGAAAACAGGAAUAAAGUUGUCUAUUAAGAUGCAAAGAUAAAUGCAAACUGUUUGCUUCAUUUUCUCUUCUUUGAGUUACAAAUUUCUUGCUGUCAUGAAAAACCUUUUCAUCUUUCCUGAAAUUCAUCACUGUGGCACUUGGCUGACAAAUGUAUUCAUCACAGUAGUGUAUUUCCCAGAGAUUCCUGUCUUCUGCCUCAAGCAUUUUAUUCCUUUAGAUGAUAAAAGUAUUUUUCUGAGAAGAGUUUACAUACAUACCUGUGUGGCUGUAGGCUCACGCAUAUCAUCAAAGUAUUCAAAAAAAAUCAUACUUCCAAGAAAAAAAUCAGCUUUAAGGAUGGAUAUUCUUUAUGACAGAAUCUUAUUUCCAUGAUGGCUGCACAGUGAUCAUCUUUCCACCGUGUUUGGACAGUGAAAUGCUCUCUGCUGUAGCAGUUAAGGAGCAGACAAGUGUAUUUUAUGAACUUAAAAGUCUUUUUGGAGGUUCUCAACGUGUGGCAAUGCAGCUACAUUACUACGUUUGGAUGUGUAAUAGCCAAUUACCUGAGAUGGCAUCAGGCAACACAUUAUUACUAGGUAAGAAUACGUGUGUAUAGCUACUGCAUUUUGGUUUAUAUAGCUGUCCUGAGGGGAAUGAGAGCUGAGAAAGUUGACCAUUACUGCAGCAAUACUGUGGUAUUGGAAAAAUAAACUUUUCUUCACCUUCACUUUUCCUUAUAGACACUGUUCCCUUUUUAAUGGCACCUACUCCCAGAGUGUUGGGUGUGAAAGGGAAUUUGUGAAAGCAGAACCUCAACUUGUCCUCCUUUCUGAACUCAUAUUGUGUUACAUGUAGCUAAUUUUCAGAAGUUUCAUUUCCAGUAGAAUUUGGCUAGUGGAAAAAAUGUCUCUUCCCUUGGUUCCCUACCCUCACCCUGGUGACCACUUCAAUGCUUUAUAGCCAAAUACGUAAAAUAUUCACUGGAACUACUUUCCCACAAUUGAAACCAAACCAAUCUGAAAGCAAAAACCAGAGGAUAUAGUCAAUAAGUGAUCUUCAUCUCAUCAGGAGAGGAAAUUUAUGUAUGCAGAAAUCCUCUUUUCUAAACAGGCAGCUGGUUGCAAUAUUGAAUUAUAUCAUCCACCAUCAGAAAGUAAGGGGUUUGGGUGCCCAGAAAUUUGUCAUUCAGAAGUGAGAUCCUCUAUUUUGCUUCUCACAUGAAAAUUGGCAUUUCCAUUUUAAUACUUUCACUACUUCCACUUAAUACAAAACUGGUGAAACGCAUUUCAACAAAAUAUCCCUGUGUAGCAGGUGAAACCUCCCAACAAGACUUCUGUGGUGCAUAAAGCUUUCAGCUAGCCAACGUGACUGACCAAAACUCAUCCCCUCUCAUUAGGUUUAGGUGCUUCACGUUGGGUGUUAGUCUUUAAAGAACUGGCCAAGCCAGAAAAAAUAAUUUGCAAAAUCACAUCCCACUGGAGUUUCCAGUUAUUCAAUACUGUCCACUCUGGUAUACAAUGAGCCUGAAAAACUCCCAAAAUCUUUUGAGGCAUUUGGUUAUUUAUAUAAACAAAGCAGAGUAUUUUGUUGAAUAAAUAAAAUGUAAGUAAAAUAUUCUAUUUCUUUUAUAUUAAGAAAUAUGUAAGAAAAUAUUCUAGUCCAUAAGCACUAAUCCAAGGUAGUUCGAUGUGAGAAUUUAUAAAGGUGCUGAUAUUCACUGUGUUUUAAGAAUAAAUCAUCUUGGGGUGGGCUAACAGCAGAAAAUAUGUUAAUUAUGUUUUUCUUUCUCUUUCCAUGUCUCAGGUAAUUUUAAAAAUAAAA